rnacentral:rRNA from 1 species
GCGAGAAAACUUUGCAAUGUGCGAAAGCACGACAAGGUUAAUCCGAGUGGUUUCUGCUAAAGGAACCUUUUGACAGUCCUAGAAACACUGUUGAAUAAGGGGGUGGGCAAGUUCUGGUGUCAGCCGCCGCGGUAAAAACCAGCACCUCAAGUGGUCAGGAUGAUUAUUGGGCCUAAAGCAUCUGUAGCCGGCUCUGUAAGUUUUCGGUUAAAUCUGUAUGCUCAACAUACGAGGCUGCCGGGAAUACUGUAGAGCUAGGGAGU